rnacentral:rRNA from 1 species
GACGAACGCUGGCGGCGUGCCUAAUACAUGCAAGUUGAGCGAUGAAGAUUGGUGCUUGCACCAAUUUGAAGAGCAGCGAACGGGUGAGUAACGCGUGGGGAAUCUGCCUUUGAGCGGGGGACAACAUUUGGAAACGAAUGCUAAUACCGCAUAACAACUUUAAACAUAAGUUUUAAGUUUGAAAGAUGCAAUUGCAUCACUCAAAGAUGAUCCCGCGUUGUAUUAGCUAGUUGGUGAGGUAAAGGCUCACCAAGGCGAUGAUACAUAGCCGACCUGAGAGGGUGAUCGGCCACAUUGGGACUGAGACACGGCCCAAACUCCUACGGGAGGCAGCAGGAGGGAAUCUUCGGCAAUGGACGAAAGUCUGACCGAGCAACGCCGCGUGAGUGAAGAAGGUUGUCGGAUCGUAAAACUCUGUUGGUAGAGAAGAACGUUGGUGAGAGUGGAAAGCUCAUCAAGUGACGGUAACUACCCAGAAAGGGACGGCUAACUACGUG